CCUAUGGGUGGCUGCAGUAGGGAAUGUUCGGCAAUGGGGGGAACCCUGACCGAGCAACGCCGCGUGAAGGAAGAAGGAAUUCGUUCUGUAAACUUCUGUUAUAAAGGAAGAAAGACGGAUGGAGGAAAUGACAUCCGAGUGACGGUACUUUAUGAGAAAGCCACGGCUAACUACGUGCCAGCAGCCGCGGUAAUACGUAGGUGGCAAGUGUUAUCCGGAAUUAUUGGGCGAAAGGAGGGAGCAGGCGGCAGCAAAGGUCUGUGGUGAAAGACUGAAGCUUAACUUCAGUAAGCCAUAGAAACCGGGCAGCUAGAGGGCAGGAGAGGGCGGUGGAACUCCAUGUGUAGCGGUAAAAUGCGUAGAUAUAUGGAAGAACAUCAGGGCGAAGGCGGCCGCCUGGCCUGUUAACUGACGCUGAGGCACGAAAGCGUGGGGAGCAAAUAGGAUUAGAUACCCUUGUAGUC
rnacentral:rRNA from 1 species